rnacentral:ncRNA from 1 species
UACAUGGAGGAAAUGCCAUGGGUCAGGUGCAGCCUGACGGUCCAAUUGAUGAUUAUUUCCCUGAUUAUCAAUUCGGCUGCGGACGGUCAUACUCCUCAAU